rnacentral:rRNA from 1 species
UUGAACGCUGGCGGCAUGCCUUACACAUGCAAGUCGAACGGCAGCACGGACUUCGGUCUGGUGGCGAGUGGCGAACGGGUGAGUAAUACAUCGGAACGUGCCUAGUAGUGGGGGAUAACUACUCGAAAGAGUGGCUAAUACCGCAUGAGAUCUACGGAUGAAAGCAGGGGAUCGCAAGACCUUGUGCUACUAGAGCGGCCGAUGGCAGAUUAGGUAGUUGGUGGGAUAAAAGCUUACCAAGCCAACGAUCUGUAGCUGGUCUGAGAGGACGAUCAGCCACACUGGGACUGAGACACGGCCCAGACUCCUACGGGAGGCAGCAGUGGGGAAUUUUGGACAAUGGGCGAAAGCCUGAUCCAGCAAUGCCGCGUGCAGGAUGAAGGCCUUCGGGUUGUAAACUGCUUUUGUACGGAACGAAAAGCUUCGGGUUAAUACCCUGGAGUCAUGACGGUACCGUAAGAAUAAGCACCGGCUAACUACGUGCCAGCAGCCGCGGUAAUACGUAGGGUGCAAGCGUUAAUCGGAAUUACUGGGCGUAAAGCGUGCGCAGGCGGUUUUGUAAGACAGAGGUGAAAUCCCCGGGCUCAACCUGGGAACUGCCUUUGUGACUGCAAGGCUAGAGUACGGCAGAGGGGGAUGGAAUUCCGCGUGUAGCAGUGAAAUGCGUAGAUAUGCGGAGGAACACCGAUGGCGAAGGCAAUCCCCUGGGCCUGUACUGACGCUCAUGCACGAAAGCGUGGGGAGCAAACAGGAUUAGAUACCCUGGUAGUCCACACAGUAAACGAUGAAUACUCGCUGUUUGCGAUAUACAGCAAGCGGCCAAGCGAAAGCAUUAAGUAUUCCACCUGGGGAGUACGCCGGCAACGGUGAAACUCAAAGGAAUUGACGGGGGCCCGCACAAGCAGUGGAGUAUGUGGUUUAAUUCGAAGCAACGCGAAGAACCUUACCAGGGCUUGACAUAAACAGGAAUAAGUAAGAGAUUACUUAGCUCUUCGGAGUCUGUUUACAGGUGGUGCAUGGUUGUCGUCAGCUCGUGUCGUGAGAUGUUGGGUUAAGUCCCGCAACGAGCGCAACCCUUGCCAUUAGUUGCUACGAAAGGGCACUCUAAUGGGACUGCCGGUGACAAACCGGAGGAAGGUGGGGAUGACGUCAAGUCCUCAUGGCCCUUAUAGGUGGGGCUACACACGUCAUACAAUGGCUGGUACAAAGGGUUGCCAACCCGCGAGGGGGAGCUAAUCCCAUAAAGCCAGUCGUAGUCCGGAUCGCAGUCUGCAACUCGACUGCGUGAAGUCGGAAUCGCUAGUAAUCGUGGAUCAGCAUGUCACGGUGAAUACGUUCCCGGGUCUUGUACACACCGCCCGUCACACCAUGGGAGCGGGUCUCGCCAGAAGUAGGUAGCCUAACCGCAAGGAGGGCGCUUACCACGGCGGGGUUCGUGACUGGGGUG